rnacentral:pre_miRNA from 1 species
UAAAGUGCUUAUAGUGCAGGUAGUGUUUUCUAUCUACUGCAAUGUGAGCACUUGAAGU